CUUGUUAAAAUCUUUAAUUAACAAGAGUGGUUUCAGAAGUACUAGGCAUUGUUUCUUGGCUAUUUGAGCAGACACCUUUAAUGAGAAUAACUUUUUCUUUGCAUAUGUGGCAAAUGAGUGUAGUUGCAGAGUUGUUGAUGGGGAUGUGGUUACUCAAGGGUGUCAAUUUUCUUUAAAGGAUGUCGAGGUGUUGGUUGGUGAAGCUAAUCUGGAUGCAGUAAGAUCAGUUAGGAACAUCGUUAACCUGGAUCAGGCACAGGAUUGAAUGUGAAAGCCAUAGACUCACAAUUGAGGAUCCUGUAACUAUUUGUGCAUUGCUUGAGGUACACUAUUCCGAUCAGUUGGGCAACUCAGUUCAUCUUUUUGCUGGUUUUAGCUUAUUUCAUUGUUUGUAGGUUGAUUUCCACCGAUUGUAAGAAAAAACAUCUUAAAGAACUUAAAAUGGUGUGAAUACAGUAGUUGUGUAGAGCUUUUUGCGGUUUUGACCAAAGUGUCAGCUUGAUUCACAUGUGAAUUGAGUUAAUUAUUGUACAACAAA